GAAGCGAUUCGAAUGCUCCUUACGUGGACUGGCUUCCUUUAUAUCUUCUUAAGAUUUUAAAGACGAGGCUGUGCAGGACAGUAGAAGCCGUUGAAGUUUGACUGUGGGUUUGCGCUCUCCCUCUCACCCACGCUCUGUCUCCAGAAGCUGCAGGGGUUUGGCUGAGUUGGCAAAAAUGCGUUGCGACGCAGGAACAGAAAUAAACUGUCGGCCUUCAAGAACUCCAACGCACGCACAUCUUGUCCUAAUUGGACCUCCAACAGACACUCGGCUCAGCACAGUGACGGUUCUUCUUGAAGGUUCUGAGGACGCAGAAGCCCAAGUGACAAGGUCUGAAUGAAAUAUUUUGGUCUUUCCCACCCUCUUGCUGGUCUUGUUGAACAUUCAACGCUGUCGGUGAGUUUUUGACAUUGAAAAACCAUCGACCGUUGAUUGUGCCCUGAGGCCACGCCCUCUUCAACCAGGACACGCCCACCUCUAUAAAUGAGUUCAUUUCUACAAAGGUCAUAAUCAACAUUCAUUGCUGUCGGUGGGUUUAGUUUUGUAACAGCUCUCUGAACAAUGAAUGUAACUAUGGCCCAGAUUCCAGCCUGUCAUGCCAGCGUACAUCAUACUCUGUGCCAGUACAGCGGAGAUCAGCUUUUCUAUUCCUUUCUUCUCCUGCUCUCAUCCUCACGGAUCUGGAGUUCUUCAAGGAAGACGCAAAUAGAAGCAGCCGCGCUGACUGUUUCCUCCUGCAUCUAAUUGGUGGUUGUGUAUAUGUGUGUGUGUGGAGCGAAUAGAAGGAAAUGGAGGAUGAAUGUGUAAUCAUUUAGAUGUUCUUCUCGUUUGGCUGUUUUGUCUCUCAAAUUAUAUACUGUGUUCACUGCAGCCUGAAAUGAGCCUAAAAUGGCACUUGCUGCUGAAUACUGUGUCCUCUCUGUCAGCUGUGUGUCUGUUUGGUGUUAGCUGGCAUUUGUGCAACUUUUUAGUCUAUGUACAUGAGAUACGUAGCGUAUGUAUGUGUCUCCAUCGCAGACAUCAAAGAAAAAGCUUCAGUCUUAAAAUCUCCAGAUACCGAAACACAACAACACAGUCAUUGUCUAUUCCCGUCUGCUUUUCUGUCUCCUUCUGUCUCUUUCUUUGACUACCUUUCAUUCUUCCAUGUUCUCAGUGGAACAUUAUCUGAAUAAAAUGUCUGCAUAAUAAAAUCUUAG